rnacentral:tRNA from 1 species
AAGAAAGUGGCAGAUUGGCAAUGCAGUUGGCUUGAAACUAACAUAAGGGGGUUCAAUUCCCUCCUUUCUCG